CACGUAGUUAGCCGGUGCUUCUUCUACCGGUACCGUCAAACGAAUCCUUCGUCCCGGUCGAAAGAGGUUUACAACCCGAAGGCCGUCAUCCCCACGCGGCGUUGCUGCGUCAGGCUUUCGCCCAUUGCGCAAGAUUCCCCACUGCUGCCUCCCGUAGGAGUCUGGGCCGUGUCUCAGUCCCAGUGUGGCCGGUCACCCUCUCAGGCCGGCUACCCGUCGUCGCCUUGGUAGGCCAUCACCCCACAACAAGCUGAUAGGCCGCGGGCUCAACCUGCACCGCCGGAACUUUCCACACACACACCAUGCGGCGAUGUGUCCUAUCCGGUAUUAGACCCCGUUUCCAAGGCUUAUCCCAGAGUGCAGGGCAGAUUACCCACGUGUUACUCACCCGUUCGCCACUCAUCCACCCGAAGGGCUUCAGCGUUCGACUUGCAUGUGUUAAGCACGCCGCCAGCGUUCGUCCUGAGCCAGGAUCAAACUCU
rnacentral:rRNA from 1 species